rnacentral:rRNA from 1 species
GGAAAGAUGAAAAGAACUUUGAAAAGAGAGUUAAACAGUACGUGAAAUUGUUGAAAGGGAAACGAUUGAAGUCAGUCAUACCAACGGGAAAUCAACCUUUUGAGUUCGUUCUUGUGGGUUUCGAGGAGUUUAAAAGCCUUCUGAUUUGCAAAGAUUGGGCACUUUUGGUGUACUUUCUCGUACGGUUAGUCAACAUCGGUUUUGAAUGUCAUAAAAUGACUGGAGGAAUGUGGCUUCGAUCUCGUAUCGAAGUGUUAUAACCUUUGGUAGAUGUGAUGUUCGAGACCGAGGAUUGCAACGGAUACCUUUCUGGGCUAUUCGUCUGAUCUCUGAUACGUUGCCUUGAUGUCGAAAGCGUGCUUAUGAUGUUAGGGUAUUACGGUCAAAAGGUUAGAACGGAUUAAAUUCGUUAAGGAUGUUGACAUAAUGACUUUAAACGACCCGUCUUGAAACACGGACCA